AGGUGCUGCAUGGAGUGAGUGGCGGCAUCCACCGUGAGGAGGAGAGGAGCUCUGAUACCCUCAGGACCCGCCAGGAGGGGCAUCACGGAGGCUUCUGGACGACUUGGAGCUGUGUCCUGGGGAGAAAACCGCUCCUGUCUGGGCCCUGAGUGCUGAGGAGGAAGCUGCCAUGCACUUUUCCCUGGCAUUUUUCCUGCAUGGUUCGUCUGUGUUUUUGCAAAUGACAUGUUGUCAUGAAUUUUUAUGCAUGAGGCAUAUUUCAUCAUGUCUGUAUGCUGAAGUCCCUUCAUCCUUUCAUUGGUUGGUGGACAGGAGAGAGAGGUCCAAGGUGCCCUACAUCGUGCGUCAGUGCGUGGAGGAGAUCGAGCGCCGAGGCAUGGAGGAGGUGGGCAUCUACCGCAUGUCUGGGGUGGCCGCAGACAUCCAGGCACUGAAGGCAGGCUUCAACGUCAAUAACAAGGACGUGUCAGUGAUGAUGAGCGAGAUGGACGUGAACGCCAUCGCAGGCAUGCUGAAGCUGUACUUCCGUGAGCUGCCCGAGCCCCUCUUCACUGACGAGUUCUACCCCAACUUCGCAGAGGGCAUCGCUCUUUCAGACCCAGUUGCAAAGAAGAGCUGCAUGCUCAACCUGCUGUCGUCCCUGCCGGAGGCCAACCUGCUCACCUUCCUUUUCCUUCUAGACCACCUGGAAAGGAUGGCAGAGAAGGAGGCAGUCAAUAAGAUGUCCCUGCACAACCUUGGCACGGUGUUUGGCCCCACGCUGCUCCGGCCCUCCGAGAAGGAGAGCAAGCUCCCUGCCAACCCCAGCCAGCCCAUCACCAUGACUGACAGCUGGUCCUUGGAGGUCAUGUCCCAGGUCGAGGUGCUGCUGUACUUCUUGCGGCUGGAGGCCAUCCCUGCCCUGGACAGCAAGGGACAGAGCAUCCUGUUCUCCACCGAUGUCUAAAGGUCCCAGUCCAUCUCCUGGAGGCGGACAGACGGCCUGGAAACCUCUGGCUAAUCAGGCCAUCUGUAGAGUGGGAAUCAAGAUUUUCUGAGGCAUCCUUGGGCCACCCCCAGGUGUCAGGCCAUCUGCCAAGAGACAGCGGCCCAAAGCAGAAGGACAGGUGGCCUGGGCAGAUCCCGCCCAGGUCUGAAAGCCCCAGGCUGGCCUCAGACUGUGGGUUUUUUAUGUGGCCACCCGAGGGCGCCCCAAACCAGUUCAUCUCGGAGUCCAGGCCUGGCCCUGGGAGACAGGGUGAAAGCAGUGGUUUUUAUGAACUUAACUUAUAGAGUCCAAAAGAUUUCUACUGAAUCACUUGUCAAGAAGCGCCCUCUCUGGGGAGAAGGGAACGUGACUGGAUUCCCUCACUGUUGUAUCUUGAAUAAACGCUGCUGCUUCAUCCUG
rnacentral:lncRNA from 1 species